UAUAUACACAUACACACAUUUAUAUCUACAUUUACACAUUUACCUACUUUUUAUAUCUGUCAUGUGUGUAUACACAUACAUAUGGAUUUUUAUUAAUAUCUGUAUAUUCCACAGUGAAAACAUGGCAUUAUUUACUUGUCAUAAACCAUACUGAUGUAAAUAUUUUCCCUUUUUUGCUGUUUCAAUAGUCUAUAUUUGUGCUUUUGGUUUUGAGCAAAGCCAAAAUUUUUUUUAAUGUCUAUCUAGUUUGUAUUUAUCAUAGUAGAUAAAUAUAUGGGUUUUAUUUUAUAUUUUGUCAUCUUAGUGUGUUAGUUUCUCUUUUUCUUUGUCUAAAAAUUGUAUAUGUAUUUUGCUUUUAUUUGAAUGUGUAUUUAUUCAUUCUCCUGAGAAGCAGUUCUGCUACUGCUUAGCUUUAUAAUUUUAAUAAUAUACAUAAAAUUAUUUCAAAAAACCUCUCAAUUAAGUACACAUUGACCCACUUUAAAAAGUAAGGAACAAAUUUUUAAAAUUAAUGCUUCAACAUAAGCAGGAGAUGACUGCAACACCAAACCACAGAUUUUGAACAAUUUGUAAAAUCUGUGAAAAAGGGUCAAUUGAGGGAGUACCAGCGAAAACCUAGAAGCAAUCCUGCAGGGUACUUUCUCUUAAAUUCAGCAAAUAAUUCUUUAUCUUCUAUGGCAGAAAGUAGGAUUUCAGGUGGACCAGAUAAAAACAUUUGAAACUAUGGAAAUUUGACUCCAAAACGUAGAGUGGUAAGAAAGAGUCUGAGGGAGGGCUGACAGAGUCACACUGUCUUUGGUUUUUCUUGACUAGACUCCUAACCCCAAACUAGUGGGAAGAAAACUUGUGACCAACUAGGUUAGUAUUCUCCAUCAGAGUGAAAAUAAACACUAAUCACCAAACAGAAGGACUUGGUGCUACUCAACAAGGAGAGCCCAUUUUGGCCUCUCCAGGGUAUGAAAGGAGAUGUGGAACCCCAGAAAUAUGAACAGAGAUGUUCCCCAGAAGAAGGCCCAGAAAAUACGCUGAGAAUGUGGUCUGAGACAACAGACUCUCCUGCUGAUCCAAAUCAUAUUCCCUAUCCCUUCCCACAUUGUUCUUGGACAGGUAGCAGAUCUAGUAGCAGAGCUAAAAUGAUCAAUGAACAGAAAGGAUUCAACAUAAGACCUACUUAUAUAUUCAACAAAAUGAGAACAUGUUCAAGACUAUUACAAGCAAGAACCAGGAGUUCCCACUGUGGCUCAGUGAGUUAAGAACCCAAAAUAAUAUCUGUGAGGAUGUAGGUUCAAUUCCUGGCCUCACCCAGUGGAUUAAGGAUCCAGUGUUGCUGUGACUGUGGUGUGGGCCUAAGCUGCAGCCCUGAUUCAGCCCCUAGCCCAGGAACUUCUAUAUGCCCUGGGUGUGGCUCUAAAGAGAGAGGGGGGAAAAUGCAAGAAAAAGAUGAAUAUACUUCAGAAGAUUUACCUUAUAUGAGAAUAUUUCAGACACAUCAUUUCCUAGGUUUUUCACAAAAAUAGUAGUAAGACAAUGAACUGGAAGAAGAGGUAAAACAUGAAGAUACUAUUUUUGUUUUAUAUACUGAUUUUUAUUUUUUUCCAUUAUAGCUGGUUUACAGUGUUCUGUCAAUUUUCUACUGUACAGCAUGGUGACCCAGUUACACAUACAUGUACACAUUCUUUUUUUUCACAUUAUCAUGCUCCAUCACAAGUGACUAGACAUAGUUCCCAGUGCUACACAGCAGGAUCUCAUUGCUAAUCCAUUCCAAAGGCAGUAAUCUGCAUCUAUUAACCACAAGCACCCCAUCCAUCCCAUUCCUUCCCCCUCCCCCUUGGCAACCACAAGUCUAUUCUCAAUUUUUUAUUUUCUGUGGAAAAGUUCAUUUGUGCUGUAUAUUAGAUUCCAGCUAUAAGUGAUAUCACAUGGUAUUAGUCUUUAUCUUUCUGACUUGCUUCACUCAGGAUAAAAGUAUCUAGUUCCAUCCAUGUUGCUGCAAAUGGCAUUAUUUUGUUCUUUUUUAUGGCUGAGUAGUAUUCCAUUGUGUAUAUACCUCAUUCUGAAGGAACCACUGUGUCCACUUAGAUUUAGCUUUUGUGUUGUCCUUAGGAAAUUAUAUACAGACAUAGGGCUGGGACAAUCAUGGUGUUUGUCUCAUGGAUUUUCUUUCUCUUAAGGACUUCUGUCUGACACUACCUGCUGUCCAUGACCUGGGCACAGUUGCCUCAUACUGAAGGCUGAGGUGUCCAUCUUAUGGCUAUUUUCAAGGAGGAUUAGUGUGGCAACAGUUACUCCAUCGUAACCAGAAGCAGAAGAUAUCACUUAUUUUUAUAUCAAAAUUAAAUUCCUCUUCUAACCAGCACUUUGCGACUAUCAUUGCUUUUGUAUUUAUUGGGUAUAGUAGAGUUAAUAUUGUUCACAAAACUUGUAAGAAUACAAUGCAAACACAAAACAGCCUCUAUUGUUGUCUCUUCACAAAGACACAUUUCUGAAGCUAGGCUCUGCUGAGUAGCUUUUUUGCAUUAGUGAAAACUCAUUAAAAUCAAGUUUUUAAAUAGAAGAGCUUCUGGAACAAAUUGCUAAUUCCUACUCCUGCCAAUUGGUAACUUAGUUUAGUAAGUAUGGCAAAGUGAUAUCAGGUCUAUUUGUAACAUACACUCAUCUUGAAUCACUCUCUUUGAAUCUUACGUAGAGCCACUAAGAACACCUUCACGUAUAGAAAUUCUUUCAGAAGGAAAGAGGAUGAGUGAAAGUUGGGAAAGAUCAGGAAAGUGCAGGGGAAGAAGACUCAAGCGAGGGAUCUGAAACCCUGAAGCUGAGGCCAAGCACUACCGAGUAUUAUCUCUUUCAAAUUGCUAAGAAGAGUCCCAGGCAGAGAGAUAUAACCAUUCCAUAGCCUGUGGUGCACUUUUGUAAAGUGUGGCUUCUGGAAUAGCCAAGGAUGGUUUCAGGCUCUGUAUUUAGUUGUUUUGCCGUCUCCCUUCCUGGCUUUUAUGAGUGCCAGUCUUCUUAGCACUGAAAAUGGACUGGGUUUCCCAGCCCAUUGGAGAAGCCCUGAGCAGUACUACCUCCUUGUUAGAAAGGUAGGUUAAGUUUGUUGCCAGCCCAACUGGUUAAUGCUGUCUCUCAGCGUGGAGAUGAUCAUUAUAAUAGUCGACUGUUCUAUGUGCUAUUUAAGUCCUUUGUGUAUCAACACAUGUAAUCAUCACAAGAACCUUAUGAAGUAGGUUCUUAGAUAAGAAACUUUAAGUCAUUUUGCCAAGAGCACAUGGCUAGGAAAUGCAGAGCUGGGAGUCAAUGCCAGUCUGACCCCAAAGUCUGAACCAUUCACCAACCUGCUCUCCUGCCUCUCAGUAUACUGAAGUGCUUACUAAGUGCUGCAGAUUCCUGGAGAGCUAGGAAUUUCUGCCCUACCAAUAAUUUUCCAUAAUAUUCAGCUUGCGUUGUAGGUAAAAAUAUACUUUCUCCUCUGCCAUGGCUAUCACUUUUCAAUGGACACCACCUAUUUCCUUUUCCUUUCAAUGAACAUCUGUUUCCCAGCAUCCAGGUGACCUGGUUUAGAAUAUUGCAACUGGAGAGAGGUGGGUGGUGUUACAGUGAAUUCCAGCCAAGGCAAACCUUCAAACCCAGCAGCCCUAAUGCUCUCCAACACUGCCCAAUUUUGUUUGGUGGACCAGUUUCGAUUUAGCAUCCAAGUAACUUGUCACUGCCUGGUUUACAUGAGAGGGUGUACUGUGUAGGAGCAUGCAUGUGCAUAAAACUGAGUUUCUUUCCACCUUUAUAUCUCAGGCCAAAUGGCUCCAGGGAUAUAACUUGAAAGCAUUGUGAGUGGAAACAAUUCUAUUGACUUUUCUACCACAUAUUUUUUAUGUAGAAAAGGAUUCUUUUCUAUAUAAAAAAAUUGCUAGAGGACAACAUCGCUUUUAUGUUGUACAUUGAAGACAAUUUAUUGCCUUUCAACUUGGAAGCAGUUAAAUGAUGGGAUCUGAUUUUCCCAGUGCCGCCAUGUAUAAUGUGAAUGCGCCCCGCUCUGCAGAUACCUAGCAAUGUAAGUGAUUUUUGAGUCGUUGGUCAGGUGGACAUUCAACCAGUCCCUGCAAACUCUGCUCCCUCUGUUAGAAAUGAAAUGUCCCUUUUAUUCCUGCCUUUGGACACACAAGCUUCUGUGUUUUUUUCUGUGAGAUCCACAAUAAUGAAUGUGUACAUCUGAGUCUCAAUUAUCCUCCAUUCAUUAUCCAUUCCUGAAUUCAGCAUCUGGACGUCCACAUAGAGGCGCUAGUUGUCAGGUGCUCUGAUACAAUUAGGACACCACUCGGAGCAACUUCUAGUUGAAAAGCUGAAACUGACCUGCAGCCAAUGGCUACCAUGUUCUGUGAGCACUGCGGUAGUAUAGGCAGGACAUCCCUACUUCCCUGAUGAUUCUUGAAGAGGGAGAGGUGGCCGAUUGCACAGAGGAGGGAAAAAGCACAGAACACUUCACAGAGAAGGUGAUAAUUGAAUAGUUUCAGAAAUGAAUACAAAGCUCUCAUGUGGAGAAAGAUGGGAAGUUAUUCUCAUCAGGGCAUGGAGCCUGUGUAAAACACAGCCAAAUGUUGUGUGUACCAUGGCCUGUUUUGAUGGCUGGUGUGAAUCUAGGGUGUGUUGAGCCAGCAUUAAAAGAUAAGAAAAAAAUAGUCUGAGGCUGGAUUGUGAUGAAUCUUAGCAUCUAUGGCAAACAGUUUGGAUUUUAUUCUGUGAGUUCUAAGAAGGUACAUGUGUGCAGAGGAGAAUGAGAAGACAAGAGAAAGCAAGGACUCAUUGAGAAUUUGGAUGGUGCUGACUUUUUAAUAGCAAAUAGGAGACAAAUUAGAAAGCACAAUAGAAAUUAUUAUUAUUUUUUCCUUUCAGCCUGAAUUUAAUUUUUUUAAAUUAAGGAGCUUUCCUGUGAGACGACAUAAUUUUUGCAUGUUUGUGUAUAUUCAGGAAAUGAUGAACCCUUUCAUUUCUAAAGACAUAUUUGCUCUGGACUCUGAAGCAGAGAGCUGGGUGGCCUCCUUUGACACUAACUAAUAUUAGUGUCCCUAUUUCUUUGUUUCAGUAUACUUUGUCCCAUU
rnacentral:lncRNA from 1 species